rnacentral:rRNA from 1 species
UACAGAGGGUGCGAGCGUUAAUCGGAAUUACUGGGCGUAAAGCGCGCGUAGGCGGCUUGUCACGUCGGAUGUGAAAACUCGGGGCUCAACCCCGAGCCUGCAUUCGAUACGGGGCUAGCUAGAGUGUUGCAGGGGAGACUGGAAUUCCUGGUGUAGCGGUGAAAUGCGUAGAUAUCGGAAGGAACACCGGUGGCGAAAGCGGCGCUCUGGUCCUCUUCUGACGCUGAGGCGCGGAAAGCCAGGGGAGCAAACGGG